rnacentral:snRNA from 1 species
AAAACUUCUUGCCCGAGCCUAUAAACCGUUAAGUACUAUACGUGGAUCAAUGGUCCACACGAUAUUAAAUUAAUUUUUUUAAGGGGUGAGUCCGCUCACACGUGUCAUCCUUGUCUUGCACUACUGCAAGGUUUGGCGCACCCUAC